CUUUUUUAGGAAAAAAAACCCAAUCACCAAGCAAUUCAGAAAACAAAGAAAGGAUGGCAAAAAUCCACCUAGAGUCUCAGGUUUUUGUUAGUAUUGCUCAAACAAAGAAACUCCAAGAUUGCGAACUCUUCCUCUCCCAUCAGUCUCAUCAUCAUCAUUCCACCCCUUUCCCUUCUUCUUCUUCUUAACAAUAAUAUAUCCAAUACACAUAAAUCUUCCCUAAUUUGCUGCUC
rnacentral:misc_RNA from 1 species